UUAAUUGAAACCAAAAACAGAGGUAUAUCACUGUUAAUGAUAUCAUUGGAUUUAAUCCCAAUUAAA
rnacentral:tRNA from 1 species